UUCUAUUUAUUCUUGGACUAAGACCCGUUUUUGACUCUGUUUUGGUCGGGCGAAUUAGCUUUAUUUGUGUCUUCUUCUUUUGGUUGUGCGCGGGUGGUGUUUAGAAUGAUGAAUCAGAAAUUUGGAGGGGGGAAACAACCCACGGGGACUCCAUCGUUGGCCUGGUCCUGCGUGGUUGUCGUCGUCUCGCUCCUCGCUGGCGCAUCCGUUGUCCACAACACAUACAAACCUGAUCUUACGUUGCCUCCAGCGGAGAGUGUUGAUGGGGCUAAGGUGAAACAACCUGAGAAAGAAUGAAAUAUUAUUACAUUAAGGUUUGGUUCUUCAUAAUUUGAAGAAAAAUGCUGUUUAAAAUAUCAGAUGUGGUAGGCACCAUAUAUGGAUUAUGACAAAUGGCAUCUAAUGGAGCAGACAAUUUAUGUAAUGGAAAAACCGAACCUUUAAAUUUCUUCUUAUAUAUGCUUAUGUUUGUAUGUGUUCCUUAGACUAAAUAAAUUUUAUAUUUACCUUUGACUUCA